rnacentral:rRNA from 1 species
CCUACGGGCGGCAGCAGUGAGGAAUAUUGGUCAAUGGGCGAGAGCCUGAACCAGCCAAGUCGCGUGAAGGAUGACGGCCCUACGGGUUGUAAACUUCUUUUGUCAGGGAGCAAUUGAGUCCACGUGUGGUCUUAGCGAGAGUACCUGAAGAAAAAGCAUCGGCUAACUCCGUGCCAGCAGCCGCGGUAUUACGGAGGAUGCGAGCGUUAUCCGGAUUUAUUGGGUUUAAAGGGUGCGUAGGCGGAAUAUCAAGUCAGCGGUAAAAAUUCGGGGCUCAUUCCCGUCGUGCCGUUGAAACUGAUGUUCUUGAGGGGGGGAGAAGGAUGCGGAAUGCGUGGUGUAGCGGUGAAAUGCAUAGAGAUCACGCAGAACUCCGAUUGCGAAGGCAGCAUACCGGCGCCCAACUGACGCUGAAGCACGAAAGCGUGGGGAUCGAACAGGAUUAGAUACCCCUGUAGUC